CGCCUGUUUAUCAAAAACAUGUCUUUUUGUUAAUUAUUUAAGGUUUGGCCUGCUCCAUGAUUAAUUAAAUAGCCGCAGUAUUUUGACUGUGCAAAGGUAGCAUAAUCAUUAGUUUUUUAAUUGAAAGCUGGAAUGAAUGGUCGGAUGAGGAAGGUUCUGUCUCACUUUAAUUUUACUUGAACUUUAUUUUUAAGUUAAAAAGCUUAGAUUUUAUAAAAAGACGAGAAGACCCUAUAGAGUUUAAUAUGCUAGAAUUUUAAUUUUUAAAGGAUUUUAUUAUAAUUAAUUUGCUGCUUAUUUUGUUGGGGUGACAUGAGAAUUGGAGUAACUUCUUGUGAUUUGAACAUUGAUUUAUGAGUGAAUGAUCCUGAGCUUUGGAUUAAAAGGAUAAAUUACCUUAGGGAUAACAGCGUAAUCUUUUUGGAGAGUUCUUAUCGAUAAAAGGGAUUGCGACCUCGAUGUUGGAUUAAAGUUAAGUUCUGGUGCAGAAGCUAGGAGGUUG
rnacentral:rRNA from 1 species